GAUGAACGCUGACAGAAUGCUUAACACAUGCAAGUCGAUGGGGAAGUGGUGCUUGCACCAUGGCAACCAUGGCGGACGGGUGAGUAACGCGUAAGGGACUUACCUGCAGGACUGGGAUAACAGGGGGAAACUCCUGACAAGACCGGAUAAUGUCAUGGAGCUGCAUGGCUUUAUGAUGAAAGGAGACGCCUGCGGAGAGCCUUGCGUCCUAUUAGCUAGUUGGUGAGGUAAUGGCUCACCAAGGCGAAGAUAGGUAGCCGGCCUGAGAGGGUGGACGGCCACAAGGGGACUGAGAUACGGCCCUUACUCCUACGGGGGGCAGCAGUGGGGAAUAUUGGACAAUGGGGGCAACCCUGAUCCAGCAAUUCUGUGUGCACGAAGAAGGUUUUCGGAUUGUAAAGUGCUUUCAGCAGGGAAGAAGUAAGUGACGGUACCUGCAGAAGAAGCGACGGCUAAAUACGUG
rnacentral:rRNA from 1 species